GAUUGGGAUUGAGAAACUGUUUCAGAUUGAACAGUUUUGGUCCAAAGAUGUUUGGAGGAUUUCAGAUUCUGAAUGUGUUAUUAAGGUCAGCAAACAACAGAGGAAGAGUGUGUUUCUUCUUUUAUUUAGAUAAAUACACAAACAAUCAACACAUAUUUACAGACAUAUACACACAGUGCAAGCUGUUUUAAAAUAUUUUUUGGUUAAGUGUUGUUUCACUGAUAUGGAGCUUUAAAAUGUAACAAAUCUGAAGGUAAACACUGGAAAGUUUGAUGCCUUUUUCGUCAUACUUAUAGGACAUUUUGUUAAUAACUUCUUUAUUUCCAAAGCAUAAGAAGGACUUGAAAUGAGAUGAGCGCUGGUAUUUCAUGAGGUAUUUGUCCUUUAACUGAACACAGCUUUCUGUCAGGAUUUUUUUUUAACUAUAUACUAGUCAAAUGUAAAUACAUCAUGUUGUUUUUCUAUCAGUCAAUUUAAGAUGUGCUUCCAGACAGAAGUAAGCAGCUGAUCAUGACACUAUGGAUGAUUGUUGUAUUUUAUGAAAUCCAGGAGGAUAAAACCUGAAUCCUGAACAACAUUCACUCUGAAGUGUCCAAAAAAGUAUCAGGACCUGAGAAAAGAAGAGAUUUAUUUUAAACAUAUUUGUAAAGAAAUGUCAGAGUUUAUCCCUGUCAGUCAACAUUUUAAUUAAAAACUCUAGUGUCUCACCAUCAUUGCGUUUAUGGUCUGUGAAGCCACCUCUCUGCAAGUAGUUUUCAUUUAAACGGUUUUGCACCUUCAGAAGAAAUGUUUGUGGGUGAGUAAACUCAUUCUACCACUGAACAAUGAAAUGAACUGAGAGCACAGAAAGUUUAAAACAUACCACAUCUGCUCCUCUGUUGUUUCUGCUCCUUCGUUUUCUCCUGAAAUUAAAGGUCAGCAAUGAAUAAAAACUAAGUGAUAUGACAGAGACAUUCAAUCAAUUUAAAAAUAAAAGAUCCUGUUUAUAUUGUCACAGCUUAAAACUUUACCUGGGGGUAAAUAUUCCCCUAUCUUCUGUCGGCAGCACCACACUCCAAGUGCAGAUAAAACAAACAAAUAAAACACAACAAGUACAACUACACAGACUAUCACUGUAGUCCUGUAUAAAUGGUGUGGUUCACACUGAGCAUCAGCUGACUCAGUUCCUGGUUUCAGCAGCCGCCACAGGCCUUCACAUCUGUAAAGAUAGAGGGACAUUUCUUAGAGGAACAUCUGGAGGAUCUGAUGAAUUCUCUGCUGCUGGAAGAAGAAUUCAGGACUGUGUGCAGUCAUCAUGAACUCGACCUCCUGUUUCAAACCAAACCAAAUAAAGAAGAUGGCUUCAUUAAAUUUCUGUGAAUAAGUUCAAACAUGACAGUUUGUUCAGAUAAUCAUGUGACUUUAUGUUUGAACUACUUAAGCAAAGAGCCUCCUGGCAGGAUUUCAGUGUUUUCAGCAUCAAUUAAAAACCUUUAAGGAUAAGAAUCUGUGAUAGUUUCUGUCACGACACAGGGAUCAAUAAAAACCUGAAAACUGUUUUAGGACCACACAUUAUAGAAAUGAUAAACAGAACAGAUUAAACUUGAUGCUCAAUCUAAGAGUCCAGGUUUUGGAGGUUUUUCAGACUUUGAUCUGAGGGCCAGUUUUUGAUAAAGUCUGUUAAAGCUGAAGUGAGCAGGAGGACUGAGAUCUGAACCUGUAAUGAACAGUAAUCCUCAGUGGAAGUCAGUGAUGAAGGGAUGAUUGAAGGAUUGACCUUUUGACAUGAAGCUGAACAUUAAAGCUACAGACUGAACUGACCAACACAGAAACAAAGACCUCAGAGAGACAGACGUUCAUGAUGAGGACUCAAAGAAGACUUUCCAACAUGAGCUCAAAGACUGAAACAUUUCCUCUGUCAGUUUAACCCUGAAUUUAACUUCCCCUUUAACUGAUCAGGUAGAUCUCACCUGGUGGACACUUAGGACAGCAUCUGGAUCCAACCUGAUACUGGUCUGGACCACAUGGGAGAGUCUGACCACGGAGGACCUACAGCAGGAGUAUCUGAGGAGACAGGGACACAGAUUUAGGUCGCAGUGAAGAUCUCAUGAAGUUUGAUAUCCAAACUGAUGAAAAGAUAUUCAGAGAUUUCUGUAAGAAGAUAUUUUACCAGCACUGCUGCAGCUGAUCCAGGUUUGACUCUCAUCUUUAAUGUGCAGGUUCACAGUUUCCUCUGGAUGAAGAUGAAAUCUCACUGAGAUCAAAGAGACAACUUCAUCUGGAGAGAAAAAAGAGCAAAUAUCCAUGCAGAGGUUACACAAAACUACUCAGUAUAUUAAUCCAGAUUAAAGAGUCCACAUAUGACCUGGUUUAGAUAAGCUUGAAAGCAGUUUGGUCUCAAAGUGACGGGAAAGUUUGUCUGUGUUUUAUGGCCCUUAAUCAAAGCUCAGCCUCACUCACUCAGAGGAGAAAAAGCUCAAAGUUCAGACAUUUGAUCUUGAUACCAGCUGAGGUGAACUCAUUAUAUUAUAAAACGGUUUUCUUAUCCUCACCAUGCAGAUGAAGUUACAGUUGUGACCUUAUGACUCCAGUGCAAAUCAAAGCCGAGCUGGACUCUGCUACUUUUCGUGUUUCCUGUAUGACAAGUUCCUCCCUGACUCCAACAUGGUUUCAGUGACUAAUUACCACCAUUCACAUCCAUCCAAAACCCAAAGUUUUGUUCUGUACACGUAUUAACUUCAGGUCAACAAAACCUUUUCUCCUUCUGAACAAAUCAUCUCAAGACCUGUAAAGUCCUUUUGGUGGCAGAGUCUGAAAGUCUGCUCAGAGGUUUGUUAAUAAAAUCUAACAAAGAAAGAAUAACUGAUGAAAAGAACAAAAACAAAAUAAAACAAAAAACAACCACCACAGACAUCAGAUCAGGACCAGGAGUUAAAGCAGGAUCACAAAACCCUCUUUACUUUGAGUCCUUUUAAAGUGGUCCAAUGUGGAGUUGAUAAAGUCAGCACUUCACCGUCUAACACACUCUGACUUUAACAAAGAGACAGCUGAAUCAGAGAGCAGCCAAACCUCCUCUCACUCCUCAGACACUAACAUACAUGCACAUACACAGACCAGAAGAGAAACAGGACGUCUGAAUUUCUGCAGAGCAAACUGAAACUUUGUUGUUAUAAUCAGUCAUCUUACCAGUGAUCUGGUCUUCUUCUCAAUGUUGAUGAGGGGAUCAUAGGAUGACAGGAUUAAAUCCAAGGAAAAAAACUCAUUCAGAAAACAGUUUGAUUUCAGUCACCAGAGAUUUGAUAAAGUUUGACAAAAAAAACUGACUUUAAACCUGGUGUAAAGUCUUCACACAGAGACCUGCUACAAAAGUGAAACGAAGAGGCUGAGGUGUUGUUGAUCAGGAGUGAGAAAUUUGGACUUUGACUCUAUAAAACAUUAUCAAUGAGAUUUUAUCAUACAUGAUAAAAACGUCUGACUGCAGUGGUGAUAUGUGCUUAUAGCAGAGAGUUUGAUGUGUUUGUCUAAUGACUGUAACUAUAAACCAGUUUAUAAGCAGGUCACAGAGGUUUCUUAUCUUAGUUCCUGGUUGUGGACAGUGUCUCUGUCUGAUGGAGGCUUACUGUCAAACAAAGACACUUAUUUUCCCUGUAAUCAUGGAGUCAUAUUAGUAAAAGAUAAAUGAAUAAACAGGAUCUUAGGAAGGAGCCGAAAAACAGAAGUCCAAAUCCAAAUCAUUAGUACGGAUGUAUCUGCAUGAAUUAACUCACAUCACCGAAAUAAGAACACAUUAUAGAUAUAAAGAUACAAAUCGUUAUACAUGCAAAUUUAUAACAAAUCAUAUCAAGAUUAAAUGCAUCUUCCAUUUUGAAUCUAACACCACAGAUAAGAGUUUAUUAAACACAACUUUCUAAAGACUGUAGCCUGAAUAAAGUAUCAACCACUGACGUAGCCAUCAGUUGAACCUGUAAAGGUAAUUUUUUUUUUACCUCCGGUAAGUCACAAAGACA
rnacentral:lncRNA from 1 species